UGUAAUCUCUCGGGGGCGAACAUA
rnacentral:siRNA from 1 species